CCCUUAGAUGUCCUGGGCCGCACGCGCGCUACACUGAGUGUCUGAGAUACGAGUCUGCCUGGUCCGGCAAGGUCUAGGUAAUCGCUAAAAGACACAUCAUGCUUGGGAUAGAUUAUUGCAAAUAUUAAUCUUGAACGAGGAAUUCCUAGUAAGCGCAAGUCAACAGCUCGCGUUGAUUACGUCCCUGCCCUUUGUACACACCGCCCGUCGCUACUACUGAUUGGAUGUUUAAGCGAGGUUCUCGAACUGCUAGCGACUUAGCUUCGGUGAGGUCGCAGUGUGGGAAGUGAACCUAGCUUUGGUGUCUAGAGGAAGUAAAAGUCGUAACA
rnacentral:rRNA from 1 species